rnacentral:rRNA from 1 species
UACGUAGGGGGCAAGCGUUGUCCGGAAUCAUUGGGCGUAAAGAGCGUGUAGGCGGCUCGAUAAGUCUGCUGUGAAAGUCCAGGGCUCAACCCUGGAAGGCCGGUGGAAACUGUCGGGCUAGAGUCCGGAAGGGGUGAGUGGAAUUCCUGGUGUAGCGGUGAAAUGCGCAGAUAUCAGGAGGAACACCAAUGGCGAAGGCAGCUCGCUGGGACGUGACUGACGCUGAGACGCGAAAGCGUGGGGAGCGAACCGG